AGCAGUGUGCGGACGGUUUUGUCCUCGUCUUGCGAUGUUAUUUGCGGUCCUGCCAUUGGAUCUUGACUUCCUUUGCUUACUACCUCAGCUUUGUCAGUCCAACUUUUCCUGAAUUCACUUACCAUCACUCAUUCAUUUCCGUUUUCUCUCUCUUCCUACUCUCUUUCCCUUUCCUCCUCUGCUAUUGUCCUGCCAUUUUUCCACUUUUACUUUUAAGCUUUUUUGCUCUUCCAUUGAAGGUCAUUCUGAGUUUUCCAUUGAAGCGUGUUUUGAGCUUCCUUUCUUCCAUUAUUGCUGAGUGUUGACUAUUUUCAGGUGGAGUCAAUAAUUGAGCAUAUGGGAGUCCCGGGAAUGUUUACACCUAGAAUUAGGAUUGCUGGUCUUUGUCUAAUUAUGAGUACUCAUGACAAUGGUUUCUAUUUAUAGUUAUUAUUAAUAAAGAAAGAGUUUGAAUUUCUGCUGCAAA